CCGACGGUGAGGGGUGAAAGCUGGGGGAGCAAACCGGAUUAGAUACCCGGGUAGUCCCAGCUGUAAACGAUGCGCGUUAGGUGUGUCAGUGACCACGUGUCACUGAUGUGCCGAAGGGAAACCGUGAAACGCGCCGCCUGGGGAGUACGGUCGCAAGGCUGAAACCUAAAGGAAUUGGCGGGGGAGCACCACAACGGGUGGAGCCUGCGGUUUAAUCGGACUCAACGCCGGAAAUCUCACCGGAUAA
rnacentral:rRNA from 1 species